rnacentral:lncRNA from 1 species
UAUAUUUCAUACAGACAUGACGAGACAGUUCUCGAGGAAACCACUCAUCCGCGAUGGAUGCUCGAUUCUUUUAUUUCGGCUCGGGUGCUUUUAUCUUGUGUGUUUUUGAAAGUGUGUUGCCGACUUAGACUAUGUCUCUUGAAACAUAUAUCUGUCUCAUGGUUUGGACGACUCGUCCGUUCGUCCUGACUCAUGUCCGAGCGACGUACGGACUUUGCCAUUUUUGCGGGCAUUGAAUCGUCUGCAUCAUCUUUUUGUUUUUAUGUACCUUGAACGUGAUCUGACUUCCGUUUAUAAUUUCGAGAGGCGGGUGCCUAUUAAUAUAAGAAGAAGAAAGACGUGACGAGAGACAAUAAAAAGACUUCAGAUUGAUACAAAGUAUAUCGAUACUAAUACUGUAUGGGCUCUAUAACGCACGAUGAUGAAGCGUAGUUUCGAAAGGACAUUCAAGGCAUGGACUAUUGGCUAUGACGAUCGAUGUUUGUAUUACUAUAUUGGUAUCAUUCGUUCUGAAUUGACGAGGAAACGAUGGAAAUUAAUAAACGCACCGCUACAAUUAAGUAGAGCAAGUAGUGCUAGUUUGUCAUCUAGCAACAAACACAGUACCUGGCACCGCAAUAGCAACAUCAUCAGAAUUGGAGUUUCUUGAAUCAUCCUCACAAUACUGAAGAUACAAUGUUAAUUAGAGAAUAGGAAAAACAAUCAUGUUUGGCGCCCACGAAUCUUUAAAAUUAUGAUAACAAUAUCGAUGACGGCGUUUCCGCAAAGAAUAUUCAACAAACAUCUUUUCAAGAUCACAAUGGAGAGAAAAAGAGUAGGUUAUGACCCAGGAAUAAAUCCUGCAAUCUGUAUGAUAUCGAACAGAUGAGUUUAUUGAUAACAAAAAGAUUAGAAUCUUUGAAGCAACGUUUCCUUUCAAGAGUGGUAAGAAGCAAGAGGAAAAUUUACAAAAAAUCCUAAAAAUGUAAUAGUAACUAUUAUUGUUUUGUCAUCUGACAGAGAAUAUGUAUGAAAUAGAAAUUUGUUUGAAAUGGCCAUUUUCUUAAACUCUAAGAAAUCACAUGUUUUGUAAAAUUGUAUUUUAAUUUGAUUUCCCAAAUAUUUAAUGUAAAAAUUAUCACCUACAUUAAUCUACUUUAAUCUGAUUUGAAAAGGUGAGAAAAUUAUUUAUCUUAGAAGCUAAAUAUAUUGGAGAUGGUUUCCGCUCACGAGAAGCAUUAUUAGUCGCCGAAUUAGUAGGAGAAAGAUUAAAGUUGUCACUACUUACAUGCAAAUCGUCAGAAUCAUGUGAAGAAGCAUCAUCAUGCUCUAUAGUGUCGGCUAACACUGAAAUCUGUUUCUUAAUGGUACCUUGGUUACUUCCAAGUGUAAUUUUAAAACUUUAUUAGAUGCGAGUCCAUCGUCAAGGUUAUCUUUCACUAACUUCUUUUGAGGCAGCUUCGUUUUAUUGCCUUCUAAAUUAGAGGGUAAUCCAGAAUGGAAAGUUUGAGAUCCUUCUACUGCAGUCUCCAAAUCGAAGGUUCUGUGAGAUCACCAAUAACUAUUGAAGGUAGCACUAUCACUACAAGCGAACCAGGUACACCAGAAGCAAAAUACAGAGAAUACCUCAACGCGGCGAAGCAUCAAGUCCUUGAGAUUAAACUUAUAUAUAUAUUGGUAUAUUAAAUAUAUUAAUUUAGUAAAGCAGGAUUUAAAAAGAAUGAUGCUGGAGACAUUUGAUUUCAAGAUACCUUUUUAGAAUUUUAUUAUAACUAAUUCUAUUAUUACUUAUUUUAUUAUUGUAAUAAUUGACCAAUAUAAUCGUCACAUCAUUGUGGGGGUAAGUCUUUCUUGACAUAAAAAUGUUUUUAGCUUAAUUAUUAUUUAUAAUUAAUUAGAUUUUCAUUCACUAUCAUCCAGCUUUCAAACUGGGAAUUUUUAUUCUGAAAUGGAGGAAUGUUAUUGCCACACAAUGAUAUCGACUAUUAUUUCAACAUAUAAUGAGUUUUAUAUGAUUCAUGGAUAACUAACGCGUAACAUAUACUGUAAUUUUGCUGAGAAAGUCUAAAAGAUUAGCCGAAAUAUGUACACAAGUAACGAAUAGAAUAUAUAAUUUAAAGAAACAAAAACUGCAUCGCGCGCGCGCGCGCGCGCGUCUAGGCGCUAAUUUCCAAUUGUCUGUUUAUAUGAUUUCCUUUUUGAAAUAUAUUAAUGUAUUAAUAAUAGUAAAUAUAUUUUUUGUACUCAUUGAAUAUCUCCAAUAUUACACAUUUGAUAUUUAUCAUGUAUCAAGGGAUUGAUAAUUUUAUGUAGUAUCACAUAAAUCUACGUCUGUAAAUCAAAUAUUUUAUUACUGAAAUGGUUUUUAUGAUGUAGAUCAUUUUUGCAAUUAUAAAAUACGUGUGCAGACUUGCUGCCGGCUCAGUACUCCCAAAAAAGUAAGAAUAAUGAGUUUUGUAUUCGAAAUAAUGAAAGAAAAAUGAAUUUUUUUAAACACUGAGCAAGCUAGUUUGUUUUAGGCUUGAUUAAAAUUGUAUAGAAUGAUAUCUAAGGAUUAGCACUUUAUUAUUUUGAACAUAUUAUUCUGUGACGGUGAUACCUUCAUUAUUUAAUAUUCCAUUAAAUCUAAAGGUAUUUAUAAAUUUUAAAAACAAUGUCAUUAAGAAUAUACGUUUCAAUAUGUUCGGCAAAGAUGACAAAUUUUUACUAAUAAUAGCAUCUAAAUUCAGGAACUGAAACAAUUUAGAAAUGAAACAAGUGUCUGGAAACAAAGGAAAAA